rnacentral:rRNA from 1 species
AGAGUUUGAUCAUGGCUCAGAUUGAACGCUGGCGGCAGGCCUAACACAUGCAAGUCGAGCGGUAGCACAGAGAGCUUGCUCUCGGGUGACGAGCGGCGGACGGGUGAGUAAUGUCUGGGAAACUGCCUGAUGGAGGGGGAUAACUACUGGAAACGGUAGCUAAUACCGCAUAACGUCGCAAGACCAAAGUGGGGGACCUUCGGGCCUCAUGCCAUCAGAUGUGCCCAGAUGGGAUUAGCUAGUAGGUGGGGUAACGGCUCACCUAGGCGACGAUCCCUAGCUGGUCUGAGAGGAUGACCAGCCACACUGGAACUGAGACACGGUCCAGACUCCUACGGGAGGCAGCAGUGGGGAAUAUUGCACAAUGGGCGCAAGCCUGAUGCAGCCAUGCCGCGUGUGUGAAGAAGGCCUUCGGGUUGUAAAGCACUUUCAGCGGGGAGGAAGGCGGUGAGGUUAAUAACCUCAUCGAUUGACGUUACCCGCAGAAGAAGCACCGGCUAACUCCGUGCCAGCAGCCGCGGUAAUACGGAGGGUGCAAGCGUUAAUCGGAAUUACUGGGCGUAAAGCGCACGCAGGCGGUCUGUCAAGUCGGAUGUGAAAUCCCCGGGCUUAACCUGGGAACUGCAUUCGAAACUGGCAGGCUAGAGUCUUGUAGAGGGGGGUAGAAUUCCAGGUGUAGCGGUGAAAUGCGUAGAGAUCUGGAGGAAUACCGGUGGCGAAGGCGGCCCCCUGGACAAAGACUGACGCUCAGGUGCGAAAGCGUGGGGAGCAAACAGGAUUAGAUACCCUGGUAGUCCACGCCGUAAACGAUGUCGAUUUGGAGGUUGUGCCCUUGAGGCGUGGCUUCCGGAGCUAACGCGUUAAAUCGACCGCCUGGGGAGUACGGCCGCAAGGUUAAAACUCAAAUGAAUUGACGGGGGCCCGCACAAGCGGUGGAGCAUGUGGUUUAAUUCGAUGCAACGCGAAGAACCUUACCUGGUCUUGACAUCCACAGAACUUAGCAGAGAUGCUUUGGUGCCUUCGGGAACUGUGAGACAGGUGCUGCAUGGCUGUCGUCAGCUCGUGUUGUGAAAUGUUGGGUUAAGUCCCGCAACGAGCGCAACCCUUAUCCUUUGUUGCCAGCGGUCCGGCCGGGAACUCAAAGGAGACUGCCAGUGAUAAACUGGAGGAAGGUGGGGAUGACGUCAAGUCAUCAUGGCCCUUACGACCAGGGCUACACACGUGCUACAAUGGCAUAUACAAAGAGAAGCGACCUCGCGAGAGCAAGCGGACCUCAUAAAGUAUGUCGUAGUCCGGAUUGGAGUCUGCAACUCGACUCCAUGAAGUCGGAAUCGCUAGUAAUCGUAGAUCAGAAUGCUACGGUGAAUACGUUCCCGGGCCUUGUACACACCGCCCGUCACACCAUGGGAGUGGGUUGCAAAAGAAGUAGGUAGCUUAACCUUCGGGAGGGCGCUUACCACUUUGUGAUUCAUGACUGGGGUGAAGUCGUAACAAGGUAACCGUAGGGGAACCUGCGGUUGGAUCACCU